UGACAGUACUCCUACGGGAGCAGCAGUGGGAAUAUUGCACAAUGGGCGCAAGCCUGAUGCAGCCAUGCCGCGUGUGUGAAGAAGGCCUUCGGGUUGUAAAGCACUUUCAGUCGUGAGGAAGGCGGCGUCGUUAAUAGCGGCGUUGUUUGACGUUAGCGACAGAAGAAGCACCGGCUAACUCCGUGCCAGCAGCCGCGGUAAUACGGAGGGUGCGAGCGUUAAUCGGAAUUACUGGGCGUAAAGCGCAUGCAGGUGGUUUGUUAAGUCAGAUGUGAAAGCCCCGGGGCUUAACCUCGGAAUAGCAUUUGAAACUGGCAGACUAGAGUACUGUAGAGGGGGUAGAAUUUCAGGUGUAGCGGUGAAAUGCGUAGAGAUCUGAAGGAAUACCGGUGGCGAAGGCGGCCCCCUGGACAGAUACUGACACUCAGAUGCGAAAGCGUGGGGAGCAAACAGGAUUAGAUACCCUGGUAG
rnacentral:rRNA from 1 species